ensembl:misc_RNA
CUUCCACCUCACAAGGACAUCUAUGGCAAUGGAGGAGAUUCAUUCUGGCUUGCUGAUGAACCCACUGGGCAGGAAGCCGCAAUGUAAGUGACAGGUAGGUGGUAGUGUUGACCAAGGACAAGGUUUCUGGCUGCCCAGG